GUAAAUAAUUAAGGGCGUAUGGUGGAUGCCUAGGCUCUCAGAGGCGAUGAAGGACGUGAUAAGCUGCGAAAAGCUCCGUUUAGGUGCAAAUAACCUUUGAUGCGGAGAUCUCCGAAUGGGAUAACCCAAUAUGUUGAAGACAUAUUAUACCGUAAGGUAGGCAAACGCAGGGAACUGAAACAUCUAAGUACCUGCAGGAGAAGAAAACAAAAGUGAUUCCCCCAGUAGCGGCGAGCGACCGGGGAUAAGCCCAAACCGUUAUUGUUUCGGCAGUAGCGGGGUAGUAGGACUGCGACAUUGAUGAAAUAAAUGAAAUGGAACACCUUGGAAAAUGUGAUCACAGAGGGUGAUAAUCCCGUACAUGCAAGUUUAUGAAUCAUAGCAGUAUCCUGAGUAAGUCGGGACACGUGUAAUCCUGACCGAAUCCGCCGGGACCAUCCGGCAAGGCUAAAUACUCCCGAGAGACCGAUAGUGAACCAGUACCGUGAGGGAAAGGUGAAAAGCACUUCGAACAGAAGAGUGAAAUAGUCCCUGAACCCAUACGCCUACAAGCUGUCGGAGCCGCUUCGUGCGGUGACGGCGUGCCUUUUGCAUAAUGAGCCUACGAGUUACUCAUCACCAGCGAGGUUAAGUACUUCAGGUACGUAAGCCGAAGCGAAAGCGAGUCUGAAUAGGGCGUCAAGUUGGUGGUGGUAGACGCGAAACCUUAGUGAUCUACCCAUGGGCAGGGUGAAGGUUUGGUAACACAAACUGGAGGCCCGAACCGGUAAACGUUGAAAAGUUUUCGGAUGACCUGUGGGUAGGGGUGAAAGGCCAAUCAAACUGGGAAAUAGCUCGUACUCUCCGAAAUGCAUUUAGGUGCAGCCUCUGUUGUUUUGUUCUAGAGGUAGAGCUACUGAUUGGAUGCGAGGGCUUCACCGCCUAUCAAAUCCGGCCAAACUCCGAAUGCUAGAACAUGAAGACAGGGAGUGAGCCAGCGGGUGCUAAGGUCCGUUGACGAAAGAGGGAGAACUCAGACCAUCAGCUAAGGUCCCCAAUUAUAUGCUAAGUUGGAAUUAAAACGGGGUGGGACUGCUUAGACAGCUAGGAUGUUGGCUUGGAAGCAGCCAUUCAUUUAAAGAGUGCGUAACAGCUCACUAGUCGAGCGGUCCUGCAUGGAUAAUACGCGGGCAUAAGCAUAUAACCGAAGCUAUGGGAUUGUAGAUGAUACAAUCGGUAGGAGAGCAUUCCAUUCAGCGUAGAAGCAGUAUCGUGAGGUAUUGUGGAGCGGAUGGAAAAGCAAAUGUAGGCAUAAGUAACGAUAAUGCGGGUGAGAACCCCGCACGCCGAAAGAUCAAGGAUUCCCCGGCAAUGUCAAUCAUCCGGGGGUAAGUCGGAUCCUAAGGGUAAGCCGAGUGGCGAUCCCGAUGGCAAACAGGUUAAUAUUCCUGUACUGAUCAUAACUGCGAUGCAGCGACGCAGAGGUGACACUGCUGCGUACUGACGGAAUAGUACGUUGAAACCCGUAUUCUUUGAUACCGGUAGUGAAGCACGCCGGUAGAGAUGAAAGGUGAUAGUACCGCAAUGCUUCGGUUGCGCGGAUAACGCAGGUAAGCUGACUGCCAAGAAAACCUGCUAAGCUUCAGGUAAUGAUCAUCCGUACUGUAAACGGACACACGUGAUCAGGUAGAAAAUACUAAGGCGCUCGAGAGAUUCAUGGUUAAGGAACUAGGCAAAAUGGUCCUGUAACUUCGGGAUAAAGGACGCUCUUGUGAAAGAGCCGCAGAUAAUAGGCCCAGGCGACUGUUUACCAAAAACACAUGGCUAUGCUAAUUCGCAAGAAGAUGUAUAUGGCCUGACACCUGCCCGGUGCCGGAAGGUUAAGAGGAGAGCUCAGAGGCAACUCGAAGGUUUGAAUUGAAGCCCCGGUAAACGGCGGCCGUAACUAUAACGGUCCUAAGGUAGCGAAAUUCCUUGUCGGGUAAGUUCCGACC
rnacentral:rRNA from 1 species